rnacentral:rRNA from 1 species
UGGGGAAUAUUGCACAAUGGGGGAAACCCUGAUGCAGCGACGCCGCGUGAGUGAAGAAGUAUUUCGGUAUGUAAAGCUCUAUCAGCAGGGAAGAAAAUGACGGUACCUGACUAAGAAGCCCCGGCUAACUACGUGCCAGCAGCCGCGGUAAUACGUAGGGGGCAAGCGUUAUCCGGAUUUACUGGGUGUAAAGGGAGCGUAGACGGCAAGGCAAGUCUGAAGUGAAAGCCCGGGGCUUAACCGCGGGACUGCUUUGGAAACUGUCUGGCUGGAGUGCCGGAGAGGUAAGCGGAAUUCCUAGUGUAGCGGUGAAAUGCGUAGAUAUUAGGAGGAACACCAGUGGCGAAGGCGGCUUACUGGACGGUAACUGACGUUGAGGCUCGAAAGCGUGGGGAGCAAACA